AAAAUACAUACACUGUUUUUGUAUUCCUGGGUUGUGAAUUCUGUCUUUCAUCUGCUAAAGCCUGUAGGGGCCGCCUAUUCAGAGAGGGCUGCUGGAGGAAUUUGCAGGGGUGGGCUUCACUCCUGUGGUUUUACCCAGCUAUGCCUCAGAUUUCCUUAUUUCAAGCCAUCCUCUGUUGAAGAUAUGGAUGAUACAGUAAAACCAAAGGCCCUUGAGAGCAGAUUGCAUGAAUAUUUUGCUGUAGCCACGUUUUGAUUUCAUGACGCUGUCCAAGAAGGCACCACAGAGUGUUUUUGCUUACACAAGAAAGAACUCGCAUCAUCUCCUGGAAAGAAUCUCAGGUGAAGCAAAUGUAAUGGACCAUUUGUCUAAACAGUGCUACGCUUGUGGACUUCAAGUGUGAAAACAGAUCCAAGACGCAAUCAUCCACCUCCAACAGAUUCAGGACGCAAUCAGCUACCUCCAUACUAGGGAGCAGGAUGGUGAGGGGACAGGUAUUUUGGGUGAUAUGACAACUAAUUGUAAUUAAUGUAAUUAAUUACAUGUAAUUGUAACAUUUACAAUGGAUUGUUUGCAGGGUAGGUAUACAUUUUCAUGGUCCUGAUAAUUGACAAGACUCAGGUGUCUGUAAAUACUGC
rnacentral:lncRNA from 1 species